rnacentral:rRNA from 2 species
UACGGGGGGUGCAAGCGUUGUUCGGAAUUAUUGGGCGUAAAGCGCGUGUAGGCGGUUUGUUAAGUCUGUUGUGAAAGCCCUGGGCUCAACCCAGGAAGUGCACUGGAUACUGGCAGACUUGAAUACGGGAGAGGGUAGUGGAAUUCCUGGUGUAGGAGUGAAAUCCGUAGAUAUCAGGAGGAACACCGGUGGCGAAGGCGGCUGCCUGGACCGAUAUUGACGCUGAGACGCGAAAGCGUGGGUAGCAAACAGG